ensembl:lncRNA
AUGGUAUUGGUAGUUACUAAAAGUAGUUUACUAAAGUAUGUCAAUACUUCUUGUACUAAUUACGUUGUCAUAGCUCUAAACAAUUUCUCUUUUCCUUCUUUCCCUAAAUCAGACCAGACCCCUGUGCAGGAUAAAGCUGAAUGUGGCAGCGCUGGACAGGUGUUUAAUGGUUUUGUUCUGAGCAGGGAGACCCUGACAGUGCUGCUGGAUCUACUGGGAAGUGAACGGCAACAUGGAUGGUGUGCCACGAUCCAGACACUGGUGUUUCUCUUCUGUCUGCCAGUGAGAGCAGCGUGUGACCGCCAUCCCCACCAGCCACGGGAGAGCACGGCCCCACACUGCACCAGCGCACCGACAGCCAAGACGCCGAGCACCGAGCACCAAACCGCCUCAUCACCACCUUCCCAUUGAAUAAAAUCCACCCUUCGGGGAACUUACCCUCAUCCUCGAGUCGUGUCCUCCUUCACCCCGCCACAAUAUAUAUUGUUAUCACCGUUUUACUUGUAACUUCAUAAAACAUGAUCAGUGGAAAAUUAUGCAACAUUAUUGCACAGAGAGCAUGUAGUUUAGCCAAAAAAAUCUAUGGUAGCUGUCAUGUAACCUUUUCGCUCAUUAGUUCAUGAAACAUGCAUAUAUCAUAGAAAAUGACACGUCACUAUUUGCAGAAAAUUCCUGAUUGAAAAGUGCCGAAACUCACCAUAAUCCAUUAUUUAGAUCUAAAGCUAUCUUUCAUAAAGCUAUAACACAUUAGGUCAGGUAGCUUAGCAAAAAAAAUCAGAGGUUGCAGUACCUGCUGUUUUAGCUCUUAACUUCACCAAACAUGCAUAGAUCCUUUAAUCAGAUCGAAAGAUUUCGUUCAUAGAGCUGUGUCACAUGAAAGCAGGCUGGCGCACUGAGGCUGCAAAGAAAAACAGCUCUAUGCUUCUCGUUUCGUUUUCAUUCAUAACUUUAGGAAACAUGCAUAGAUCAUUAUUUUCAGAAAAUUCUCCCAAUUAAAAUGAGCACAGAGAUCCAAAGAUAUUGCAGAUAUUGGUAUAACCCAACAGGCACACUUCAGGUGCAGCAGGACAAAUAACGUACUCUGUUACGAACGUAACCUCGGUUCCCUGAAAUAAGGAAUGAGCACUGCAUAUGGGAAAAGCUCAUUUUUCCUCAAUGCUGAAGCCUUUUUCAAUAACGCAGUGUAACUGCACGGCCAUUGGUUCAAACUGGAAAACUUUUUGAACCAAUGACGGCGUGGUGUAGCCGCGCGAGCCUAUGGUGAUGCAGCACACCAAAGCCCGCCAAAAUGGGUCGGGUGUAUGGCUAUACGUUUAGCCAUAGGAUUUCAGGUCAUUCGACUGAAGCGGUGACAGUACUCAUUCCAUAUCUCAGGGAACUGAGGUAACGUUCGUAACCGAGUACGUUUUCCUUUCGAUACUUCCCUCGUACUGCGUAUGGGGAACGAAUUCAACUGCACAGUGCCAUGGCAGGGCCACCUCUGGGGUCCAGGGGACAAGUGAGAGGGCCGGAGCCGUCAAACCCUUUAUGUUACACUUGCUAAGAGGGAGCUAGCUCCCUGUAAGUGGCAUGAUGACGGAGCUCGACAGAGGCCGUCAUAUCAUACCGAGAAGACCCAAGCAUGCAAGGUCUGGAUGUCCAGGUUAUAAAAUCUGACAAAAGUGGAUGGCAAGGACCAGCCAGCCGCCUCACAGAUGUCUUUGAUAGAGACACCACUAGACCAGGCCCACGAAGAGGCCAUCCCUCUAGUGGAGUGGGCUCUUACUCCUAUCAAGGCCCAUAGAGGAGUAACAUAGAGCGAUAGUGUCGACAAUCCAACGCAAGAGUGGGUCCUCAAUGUCCUCACUGGGCAGAGUAAUUCCAGCUCUCGCUCGUCCAACGAGGGAGGCAGCGCUGAGAGAGAAAUGACCUUCGAGUCAUUGGGCCCAAACUCAAGGCAUGCAGGGCUGACAGAGAGGGCCUGCAGAUCGCCAACACGCUUGACCAAUGCUAGUGCAAGUAGCAGAGCGGUUUUGAGCGUUAAGGGCCGAAGGUCAGCUGACCGUAGCGGCUCAAAGGGAGGCCCUUUGAGUGCUCUUUGGACCGUGGAAAGGUCCCCGGCGGGAACUAUGAGAGGACGCGGGGGGCUCAACCGCCAGCGAUAGGGGCGUGGCAUGCUGCAAUGGCUGCUACGUACACCUUGAGCGUGGGAGGGGUGAGGCCCUUGUCCAGACGCUCCUGGCGAAAUGACAGUAUCGGAGAUAUGUCACACUCAACAGGGUCUUCGUUUCAUGCUGAGCACCAGUCAACGAAGUCCGACCACUUCUGGGCGUAGAGGCGUCUCGUAGACGGGGCUCUCACCUGAGAAAUGGUGUGUAGCACGUCCCCGGGGAGGCUUAAAGGCUCCCAUCGAGGGACCAUAGGUGCAGAGCCCAGAGUUCUGGCUGUGGAUGCCAGAUUGUCCUGUACACCUGAGAGAGGAGGUUCCGUCUCAGAGGGAUCAGCCAUGGUGCUUUCUUGGAAAGCCUGAAGCUCUGAGGACAAACUAGGCUCCUCCAGAGUGGGGCCACCAGGAGGACUCUGUACUUGUCUUUCCUGACUCAGCUGAUGACCUGAGGGAUCAGAGCGAUCGGGGGGAAAAGCGUAAAGAAGGAGGCUGGGCCAGUUGUGGGCCAGCGCAUCUAUGUCCUUCGAAAAAUAGGUUGGGCAAUGAGAGUUGUCUUCUGAGGCGAAGAGGUCAACCUCUGCCUUCCCGAGGAUCUCCCAGAUUCUGAGAACCAUCUGGGGUUGGAGCAUCCAUUGCUCCGAGAUACAUUUACAUUUAACAUUUAAUCAUUUAGCAGAUGCUUUUAUCCAAAGCGACUUACAAAUGAGAACAAUCAGAUCAACAAGAGAACAACAACGGUAUACAAGUGCCAUGACAAGUCUCAGUUAGGGUUUUUUUUAAGAAUAUGAUAGACAAGAAAAGAAAAGGUAAGUACUAGUAUUAGUUGUUUAAGUGCUGGCGAAAAAGAUGAGUCUUUAUGUAACCAGUCCUUUGCUGACCACUGCUACUAUCAUCUGCGUUGUGUGUAAGAAGGCUCAGGACACUUUUAGUUCUGUUCACCAAAGAGGAUUUAUUGACAGCCACGCCCAGCAUUAACUUUACUCCAUCUGCGGAUUAACAUGAAUAAAGUUCAAAUCUCUCUCUCA